AACCAAGUCUCUAAGCAAUGGAUGUCUUGGCUCCUCACACGAUGAAGAACGUGGCAUAAUGUGUUAAGUAACCGGAGUUGCAAACAUCAUGACAGGUUAAUCUUUGAAUGCAAAUUGCGCUAAACUCGAUCUCGGUCGAGAAGCAUGGGUGUGACAGUACUACAUCUUUUAUAAUAAUUCUUAUUCUAAGCGAAUAAGUAAAUAAUAUAUAAGACAAACAACACGUAGUCUGCCAUACGCAGGAAGACCCGCUGAACUGAAGCAUCUCAUUAAGCGGAGGAAAAGAAACUAACUAGGAUUCCCUUAGUAAAGGCGAUCGAA
rnacentral:ncRNA from 1 species